GCUGUACACUGACUUCGACCUGCUGACCGACUUCCCGGAGCCGACGCUGGACUUCCUCGCGGACAUCCCUGAGGAGAAGCUGCUGCUGCCGUUCCCCGCGGGGAGCCCCGAGGAGUGCCCGUUUGACACGGAGGUGGCGUUGCCGACGAGGUGGCAGAAGGUGGACGACUUCUUCCAGGACAUCACCGAGCUGUUCCAGAUCGACCCGCUGCCCGUCGUCCAGCCUGCCAUCGAGACUCGAGAUGUCUCGCUCUGUAACAGGACCCAGAGGAGGAGCACGCCAUUCCGGCUCCAUGCCCGUGGAGUCAGAGACCGAGAACAACAACCUCGAUAUGGAAAGCAAGUUGCCACUGCCUCCAUCGCAGUCGCAGCGACCACCACUAACUGCUUCUGUGAGAGGUAGUAGCAGCAACUAUGUUUCAACAGGAAACAAGAGAAGAGAAAGUGAAAGCUCUAUGGGUGUGCCAAUUGGUCAAUCGUCAUCUUCAGCACCAUAAGCUGAAAAUAAAGAUGCAAAUGAAUUGGUUGUCGCAGGCACAAGUAAUGCUUGUAAUAUGCUGUAGCUGUUGUUGAUAUAGCGAGCCUUGAUGACGAUGACGAGGACAUGCAAGAGGAGAUGACUGGAAUAGGAAAGAGACAAAAGUGGCACACAUCUAUUGUGUGGAAGUACUUUACCAAAGAAACUGUGAAAGUGGAGGUGAAUGACAAGAAGUAUGAGCAGUUGUGGUCCUACUGCAACUUUCCAAAAUGUAAGCAGAUAUAUAGAGCUAAGUCUAAUCAUGGAACAAAUGCAUUCCGCAACCAUCUAAGGUCACAUCACAAUAUUGUCAAAGGACAGCUAGAACUAAAGGCAGAAAAGUAUCAUGGAAAAGAUGACACCACUAUUCAGCCUUUUAGGUAUGAUCUAGAUGUUAGUCUUAGAAAAUUCUAUAUCGUAAUAGACUUGAUUCUGAGAUGGUGGAAGCUCUAAUAUGCACCAAGGAUUGGAUCAA